UGGGGAAUAUUGCACAAUGGGCGAAAGCCUGAUGCAGCAACGCCGCGUGAGGGAAGACGGUUUUCGGAUCGUAAACCUCUGUCCUUGGGGACGAAAGAAAUGACGGUACCCAAGGAGGAAGCCCCGGCUAACUACGUGCCAGCAGCCGCGGUAAUACGUAGGGGGCGAGCGUUGUCCGGAAUGAUUGGGCGUAAAGGGCGCGUAGGCGGCUUGUUAAGUCUGGAGUGAAAUUCCUGCUUUCAAGGUAGGAAGUGCUUUGGAAACUGGCGGGCUGGAGUGCAGGAGAGGUUAGCGGAAUUCCCGGUGUAGCGGUGAAAUGCGUAGAGAUCGGGAGGAACACCAGUGGCGAAGGCGGCUAACUGGACUGUAACUGACGCUGAAGCGCGAAAGUGUGGGGAGCAAACAGG
rnacentral:rRNA from 2 species